CAUAGCCAGUGACAUAUACCGCUGCAGACCCCUUCGUUUGCAGUGAAAAUAACGAAACGAGCGGGCGUGAAGUUGCGGGGCUGGAAGAGGAAACGGGCGGAGGGCCCCGCAGGCUCUGUCUCCUCGAGCUGCUCCGCCGUACGGAUCUGACGAGGUGCCCCUCAGACUCCAAGACUCGGCAACAAACUUAUCCUCUGAGAGUUCAGUUACGGAGAUCCAUACCUAUUACAUUUAUUACCUGAAGAAAUAAUGCAAGAGAGGCACAAACGCCUGGAUGGGCCAUGUCGUCGGCCACCUCGGGAAGGACCUGCGUGCGCACACGGCACAGGCAUGAGAACCCAUUUGUUUCUUGCUGGCAGACCCGAUGCCACCACAUUCUGGUUUCCGUGACAAGAAGCACCUUUAAAUAGCAAGUGGGGCACUCUCUGCCAGGUGGCCUCUCAGAUGGCAUGGUUUUGGGGCCUCCCUGCCACUCCCCUGCACCCUCAAAGGCAGGGACAAUCUCUUUUCAUAGAAUGAAGGGUCUGGGACAAGGGACAUGUGACGUGGCAUCUGGGGCAGAGAAGUCCUCUAAUGGCCGCCAGAACUGCCCAGGAGCAAACCAGGACUUUGCAGGGUGAGGCGGCCCGAGCACACCGUGUCCUGCCAGAGAAGCUGACGGCCUCCCGGCGCCUCCAGGUGGGCUCCACCUGCCUGAGGAUGAGGCUGCAAGUGUUGAGAGGUCCCUAAACGCCUCACAGGACAGGAGGGAACCCCCCCAAAUGACUAGAUCACCCACGAUCCUUUUUAAGUGUCAUCCUUUUCCUUCUAAAAACUUCUGCAAAUUCCAACGAAUAGAUGUUUUAUAGUAAAAAGAA